UUUAGGAGAAGUCUUAUUGUGAGGGCGAGUUUUAUAACACCAUAGGACUGGCCGUCCCAUAUGAAAAGAUUAUAUUAGAAUUGAAUGAAGCUUUGUUUAUAUAUUGAUAAUGACAGUAUAUAUAUCGUGUCUUGACUAAUUGCGUGCCAGCAGUCGCGGUAAUACGUAAGAGACUAGUGUUAUUCAUCUUAAUUAGGUUUAAAGGGUACCCAGACGGUCAAUAUAGCUUAUAAAAUGUUAGUACUUGACUAGAGUUUUAUGUAAGAGGGCAGUACUUGAGGAGGAGAGAUGAAAUUUCGUGAUACCAAAGGGACUCUGUAAAGGCGAAGGCAGCCCUCUAUGUAAAAACUGACGUUGAAGGACGAAGGCACAGAGAACAAACAGGAUUAGAUACCCAAGUAGUCUUUGCAGUAAAUGAUGAAUGCCAUAGGUUAGAUGGGUGGGUAGUCUAGUUGAGUUAGUUUAGCAAACUAAUGAUCUAGACGAGCCCACCAUAUAUUUGGUCUAUAAAUGAAAGUGUAAGCAUUUCACCUCAAGAGUAAUGUGGCAACGC
rnacentral:rRNA from 1 species